CACUGGUGGCGACCGGCGCACGGGUGAGUAACACGUGUGCAACCAACCCCGUACCGGGAGAUAACCCGCGGAAACGUGGACUAACAUCCCAUGAGACUCUAGAUCCGCAUGGCUCUAGAUUUAAAAUUCCGGUGGUACGGGACGGGCACGCGCGACAUUAGGUAGUUGGCGGGGUAAGGGCCCACCAAGCCGACGAUGUCUAGGGGUUCUGAGAGGAAGGUCCCCCACACUGGAACUGAGACACGGUCCAG
rnacentral:rRNA from 1 species